UGGGGAAUUUUGGACAAUGGGCGAAAGCCUGAUCCAGCAAUGCCGCGUGUGUGAAGAAGGCCUUCGGGUUGUAAAGCACUUUUGUCCGGAAAGAAAUCCUUGGCUCUAAUACAGUCGGGGGAUGACGGUACCGGAAGAAUAAGCACCGGCUAACUACGUGCCAGCAGCCGCGGUAAUACGUAGGGUGCAAGCGUUAAUCGGAAUUACUGGGCGUAAAGCGUGCGCAGGCGGUUUGCUAAGACCGAUGUGAAAUCCCCGGGCUCAACCUGGGAACUGCAUUGGUGACUGGCAGGCUAGAGUAUGGCAGAGGGGGGUUAGAAUUCCACGUGUAGCAGUGAAAUGCGUAGAGAUGUGGAGGAAUACCGAUGGCGAAGGCAGCCCCCUGGGCCAAUACUGACGCUCAUGCACGAAAGCGUGGGGGAGCAAACAGGAUU
rnacentral:rRNA from 1 species